rnacentral:rRNA from 1 species
GAGUUUGAUCCUGGCUCAUGACGAACGCUGGCGGCGCGCCUAACACAUGCAAGUCGAACGAGCGAGAGAGAGCUUGCUUUCUCAAGCGAGUGGCCAACGGGUGAGGAAGGGGUGAGGAACCUGCCUCAAAGAGGGGGACAACAGGUGGAAACGACUGCUAAUACCGCAUAAGCCCACAGCCCGGCAUCGAGCAGAGGGAAAAGGAGCGAUCCGCUUUGAGAUGGCCUCGCGUCCGAUUAGCUGGUUGGUGAGGUAACGGCCCACCAAGGCGACGAUCGGUAGCCGGACUGAGAGGUUGAACGGCCACAUGGGGACUGAGACACGGCCCAGACUCCUACGGGAGGCAGCAGGGGGGAAUAUUGCACAAUGGGGGAAACCCUGAUGCAGCGACGCCGCGUGGAGGAAGAAGGUCUUCGGAUUGUAAACUCCUGUUGUUGAGGAAGAUAAUGACGGUACUCAACAAGGAAGUGACGGCUAACUACGUGCCAGCAGCCGCGGUAAAACGUAGGUCACAAGCGUUGUCCGGAAUUACUGGGUGUAAAGGGAGCGCACGCGGGAAGGCAAGUUGGAAGUGAAAUCCAUGGGCUCAACCCAUGAACUGCUUUCAAGACUGUUUUUCUUGAGUAGUGCAGAGGUAGGCGGAAUUCCCGGUGUAGCGGUGGAAUGCGUAGAUAUCGGGAGGAACACCAGUGGCGAAGGCGGCCUACUGGGCACCAACUGACGCUGAGGCUCGAAAGUGUGGGUAGCAAACAGGAUUAGAUACCCUGGUAGUCCACACUGUAAACGAUGAUUACUAGGUGUUGGAGGAUUGACCCCUUCAGUGCCGCAGUUAACACAAUAAGUAAUCCACCUGGGGAGUACGACCGCAAGGUUGAAACUCAAAGGAAUUGACGGGGGCCCGCACAAGCAGUGGAGUAUGUGGUUUAAUUCGACGCAACGCGAAGAACCUUACCAAGUCUUGACAUCCUGCGACGCACAUAGAAAUAUGUGUUUCCUUCGGGACGCAGAGACAGGUGGUGCAUGGUUGUCGUCAGCUCGUGUCGUGAGAUGUUGGGUUAAGUCCCGCAACGAGCGCAACCCUUAUGGUCAGUUACUACGCAAGAGGACUCUGGCCAGACUGCCGUUGACAAAACGGAGGAAGGUGGGGAUGACGUCAAAUCAUCAUGCCCUUUAUGACUUGGGCUACACACGUACUACAAUGGCGUUAAACAAAGAGAAGCAAGACCGCGAGGUGGAGCAAAACUCAGAAACAACGUCCCAGUUCGGACUGCAGGCUGCAACUCGCCUGCACGAAGUCGGAAUUGCUAGUAAUCGCAGAUCAGCAUGCUGCGGUGAAUACGUUCCCGGGCCUUGACACACCGCCCGUC